CCGAAGCCGCCACCAUCUCCCUCUUCCGUGCCCUAGUAUCGUCUCCUCUGCUCUAGGAUUGGUCUUCACUCUCGACCUACCCUUCCUUCAAUGGAUCGCCGCCGAGCAGUAGAGAUUCGGCUUGGGACCGAGUUCACCUACAAAAAUUCCCUUCUCCGCUUGAUCUGAGCCGCGUGAGGUGGUUCUGUCAUCGAGUGCCUCACCAUAAAGGUUCAGCUGCAAAUUUCCAGCAGCAGGUAUCACCGGCGGGGAGCCUCAGCAGUUGUUUUCCGGCCGUGAAUCAGUAGCUUUGUAGAAACUCCGGUUGUGGAUCUGUGGCAAAGGGCAGCACCACUGUGCUUGUGCCGGCAGUAACACCUCCUGGCAGUGGGUCAACCGAGGAUUUUAAUCGAGGCUGGUGUCGUGACGAAGUUGAUAUUUGAUUCGAUCUACAUAUAAGGCGGGUAUUUCUUGCUUUGUCUCUUUAGUCCUUUGAACUUGGUGCAUGAGCUAUUUUUGGAUAAGAACUGCCUUAUCUUGACUCCACUCAUAAUUUUUC